AAAGACCUUAUGCUUUUGGAGCGGCCGAUACCUGAUUAGCUAGUUGGUAAGGUAAUGGCUUACCAAGGCGACGAUCAGUAGUUGGUCUGAGAGGACGGCCAGCCACACUGGGACUGAGACACGGCCCAGACUCCUACGGGAGGCAGCAGUGGGGAAUUUUGGACAAUGGGCGCAAGCCUGAUCCAGCAAUGCCGCGUGAGUGAAGAAGNCCUUCGGGUUGUAAAGCUCUUUCAGUCGAGAAGAAAAGGUUGUGACUAAUAAUUGCAACUGAUGACGGUAUCGACAGAAGAAGCACCGGCUAACUACGUGCCAGCAGCCGCGGUAAUACGUAGGGUGCGAGCGUUAAUCGGAAUUACUGGGCGUAAAGGGUGCGCAGGCGGUUCUGUAAGUCAGAUGUGAAAUCCCCGGGCUUANCCUGGGAACU
rnacentral:rRNA from 1 species